ensembl:lncRNA
CAGAAAUUAGACAGUCAGUCAUGUGGUGGACACAUGACCCCCCGGGCAGGCACUGACUGGUUUCAGAUGGGACUGCUGCUGCUGCUUUAUGGCCGUGCUGGCCACUGCUCCAGGGAGUGGGGCACUCUCUCUGUGUCUUCACCAUGUUGAGACGAAAGCACUACACGUUUCAUCAGCCGUGAUGGCCAAGCACUGGAACAGAUUUCGUGGUUCGUUGGGCCAAAGUGAUAGAUGACAUCUAUGGUGGGGAAGUGGCUUCUGAGCUUGCAGAAAUCCCGAGAUGGAGAAGGAAGCCACCAGGACUGGACCUGACUGCACAUCCCCACCUGUGAGGUGCGGCGUGUGAAGACUGCACCUGGGGAAACACUCAAGCCCCCUCAGAGAGGCAACCCCCCAAACAGUAAGACCAACUGCUGUGUUUCUCAGACUCUCCUACUUAAUGUGCUAAACAGAUCAAGUUCUUU